ACGGUGGAUCACUUGGCUCGUGGGUCGAUAAAAAACCCACCUUAUUGCCCGUCACUUUUUGAACUGCAGGACACAUGAACAUCGACAUUUCGAACGCACAUUGCGGGUCCACGGGAUACAAUUCCCGGACCACGCCUGGCUGAGGG
rnacentral:rRNA from 1 species